rnacentral:rRNA from 1 species
GGCGGCGUGCCUAAUACAUGCAAGUAGAACGCUGAAGGAGGAGCUUGCUCUUCUGGAUGAGUUGCGAACGGGUGAGUAACGCGUAGGUAACCUGCCUGGUAGCGGGGGAUAACUAUUGGAAACGAUAGCUAAUACCGCAUAACAUUGACUAUUGCAUGAUAGUCAAUUGAAAGGUGCAAAUGCACCACUACCAGAUGGACCCGCGUUGUAUUAGCUAGUUGGUGGGGUAACGGCUCACCAAGGCAACGAUACAUAGCCGACCUGAGAGGGUGAUCGGCCACACUGGGACUGAGACACGGCCCAGACUCCUACGGGAGGCAGCAGUAGGGAAUCUUCGGCAAUGGACGGAAGUCUGACCGAGCAACGCCGCGUGAGUGAAGAAGGUUUUCGGAUCGUAAAGCUCUGUUGUAAGAGAAGAACGAGUGUGAGAGUGGAAAGUUCACACUGUGACG